AAAUCAUUCAACUGUCAAGAAGGAAUGAUGGAAAGUCACUAAGAAAGUGCAAGCUUAUUUUGCAUGCACAAUAAGGCACAUCCUGCAGGAAACAAAUUAAGAAGUCAAAGGCAAGGACCCUGCGAUAGCAACUUCACGGACUCUAAAUUCCACUGCAAGUGUUAACCUCCGGCUACAUUUACAUUUGGAAGGGAUGUGGAUGCACAGAUGUGCCAGGGGACUCAGCAAUCCAGCUGCACACAACUCUCAGGUCCAUGGAAAAGCAGGUUACUUCAAGAAUCAACGCUAUCUAUUACUGCAAGGGUGCAAGCAGAUUCAUCACCUCUACUGAAGAUUACAGAAAAAUUUUAAAUGAAAUUGAAGAGGCAGGAUGAGGUAUUUUCCAUGUCUCUCAGACUCACUUUUCUAAGUACAAGACAGAAUGGUUAAUCUCCCAGGCUGAAAAGGUAGGCCCCAUGUCUUUCAUUUUAGAUAGCUACUUCUGAAAUACCAAACCUAUUUUUAUGCAGAUAGAAAACAACAUAAAAAUGUUAAAAGCUUUAAGAGGAAUAUACCUUUUUUAAAUAUAUCUUCUCCUACUAAGUCAGUAAAAGAAAGAGCAACUACAAUAAACAAGGGCAGACUUUUCA
ensembl:lncRNA